AGAGACCCUGCCUGAGAAAGAGAGGAAGGCAGGAGAUGAAGAGAAAGCAAAGAAGGAACAGUAGAUGUCAGACUUUGUUAGUCGCUUCUGCUCUAAUGAGACCUAACCCUGUUGACUUUGAACUGGAGUCAGAAACUAGUGACUGUGCAGUUGGCUGGCAGACUGCAGAUCUGGAGACUCGAUGGCCUUCAUGGCUGUGUGGCCCACAUUAUAAAUCUGCCAUUUCUCUGCCUUUACCUCACCUCCGUGCUGCUGUGUUCCGCCUUUGGGCCUUCUACAAUCAUUUUUCUCCUGGGGGGCAGCCACGCUGUGGAGUACACGGUUACACCAACAUGAGGAAAAAGGUUUUAGAGUGAGACAAGAUCUCAGAAUUUCAUCUCAGAGAUGGGGAAAUGAAGGCUGGGCAGUGGUAGCACACACCUUUGAUCCCAGCACACAGACGGAGAGGCAGGUGGACCUUUGAGUUCGAGGCCAGCCUGGUCUACAAAGUGAGUUCCAGGACAGCCAGGGCUACACAGAGAAACCCUGUCUCGAAAAACAAAACAAAAAGCAUACGUGAAGGAACAAGUUCAGGCAUUGCUGCAUUGCUACAUUGCGAAGAAUCCGAACCUCAGGAUUUAUCAGAUUUCUGUGUGUGUGGAGAGGGGCAGUCAGUUUUCUCUUUCUACCUUAGCAAAGCUGUAAGCUAACUGAAAGGUGUUGUGGCAUCUGCCACAUCUCUCGUAAGAACAGUGACUAGACUGUGCCUGACAGAAGAGGGCAAACCAGCGCUGAGUAUACCCCCUCAACAU
rnacentral:lncRNA from 1 species